GCCUGGGUGGCUUAGUCAGUUAAGCAUCUGACUUUGGCUCAGGUCAUGGUCUCGCGGUGUGUGGGUUUGAGCCCCGCAUCGGGCU
rnacentral:tRNA from 1 species